AUUGAACGCUGGCGGCAGGCCUAACACAUGCAAGUCGAGCGGAUGAAGGGAGCUUGCUCCUGGAUUCAGCGGCGGACGGGUGAGUAAUGCCUAGGAAUCUGCCUGGUCGUGGGGGAUAACGUCCGGAAACGGGCGCUAAUACCGCAUACGUCCUGAGGGAGAAAGUGGGGGAUCUUCGGACCUCACGCUAUCUGAUGAGCCUAGGUCGGAUUAGCUAGUUGGUUGGGUAAAGGCCUACCAAGGCGACGAUCCGUAACUAGUCUGAGAGGAUGAUCAGUCACACUGGAACUGAGACACGGUCCAGACUCCUACGGGAGGCAGCAGUGGGGAAUAUUGGACAAUGGGCGAAAGCCUGAUCCAGCCAUGCCGCGUGUGUGAAGAAGGUCUUCGGAUUGUAAAGCUCUUUAAGUUGGGAGGAAGGGCAGUAAGUUAAUACCUUGAUGUCUUGACGUUACCAACAGAAAAAGCACCGGCUAACUUCGUG
rnacentral:rRNA from 1 species